UUUGCUCACUCAGGGUUUGUUGUCAUUUAUUCUUAUCUCAAGUGUCUGCGGGCGGCCAUUAUCCAGAUAACCAAAUCUUCUUCAACAAGAGAAGGCUCUUUGCCACAUUUUCAUCUAGCUUCUCAGAAAGAGGCAUGCCACAGAACGUGUCAGGCAUGAGCAGUGGGCAUACCAGGCGGCGAGAGGAGUUGCAGGUUGUGAUAGUAGGUGAUGGUGGAUGUGGGAAAACCUCCCUCCUCAUGGUUUACACUAAAAAAGGACUUUCCAGAGGUCGAGAGGACUAUGACUGAUUACGGCCCCUGUCCUAUCCGAAUGCCAACCUGGUAUUGAUCUGCUAUGAUUGGUACCCCGAGGUGCAUCACUUCUGCCAUGGCGUGCCCAUUAUCCUGGUAGGAUGCAAAACAGAUCUGCGGAAAGACAAGGCCUUGGCAAGGAAACUGUGGUCCUCAGGCCAGAACCCCAUCACAUACAUCCAGGGUGAAGAGACCAAAAGGAAGAUCAAAGCUGAGCUCUACUUGGAGUGUUCAGCCAAAUACAAGGAGAAUGUGGAGGACAUAUUCAGAGAGGCUACCAAACAAGCCCUUGCAGCAACAAGGAAAUCCAGAAAGGCAAAGAGGAACGGAUUCUGUGCCCUUCUGUGACCCAAGAGAUAAUGCUAUCCACCACCGCGAGCUCCUGAUACAGACAAUACUCUAGCCCUACUCAGGGAAAACACAGAUGAUGACAGACUACUUCUCCCUACGAGUCCUCUUAUAAUAUUGUUGCUGCAUUUUACCCUUCUGCUAACCAACUUCCUUUGUUGUUCCUUCCUGCUAAUUCUUGACACAUUGUCAAAAUGUGUUUCUUUAAUAGAAAUGAACAAUGCCCUCAAGUUAUAGAACCACAAAUGGGGACAUUUGGUCUUAGAAAGUUAAGGAGACAUGAGGAAGAAGUUGAAGGUACCAUUGUAUAAUAAUUGAAGGUUCCAUUGUAUUUUUUAUUUUGAUGUAUCCAAAUCUUUUAAUUUAUACAAAAGAGAAGGUUGACUCAAACAGUAAUUCACAUAGUACAUCUCAUAGAUGUAAAAAAAAAAAACUUUAAAAAAACAUGAUUAAAUGAAGCAACAAAUCUGGAUUAGCUUGUAGAAUAUGCAUUCUUCCAUAAGCCUAGGGUUGUUAUGCAUAAUAACAAUUGCACUUUGACUCCAGUCCUUCUAAUGACAAUGAAUGUAAUCAGAUAUGACAUACACAAUAUGUAUAAUGUAUUUCCGAAAUGUUAAUGAUUGCCUAAUAAAAAGAGGUUCUCAAUCCAAUUCACUUACCUUUGGGGAGACUCAGCACAUUGUAACAGAUUUACAGUAUACGACUAUAAAACUAUUCAACCCCUUGGAUUUGGCAACAGACACAAGGCAGUAUAGUCAGAGUAAACAUAAUUAAGUGGGGCUUAAUAAGCCCUCAAACAGAACAUCUUAAAAACAUCAAAUGGCAUUUUAAAGGGGAUGUUUUAAAAAAGGCGUCAACCAUCAUCCAAUAUACUGACGCAUAAAAUAAUAAAAAAACGCAAAUAAUCAUGCCAUUAUUUUAUUAAAGUAAUAUGUGCACUUGGAUCACAUUCAAAGGUUGACGAUAAAGAUCUGAAGUUUUGCCUCCAUUUAAAUUAAUUUAGAAGUAGCUACUUGUGACUUCACAUAAAUGCAAAACAAUCAGUGCUUUACAGUAUUGUUAAAAGAAAGUACAUUAUGUUGAGGACAAUAUUUCAGCAUUUUCACAACCACAGUAUAAGAGUUCACCUAUCAUGUAACAACAGUAUGAGGAGUGUGCUUAAAAUGCAUUAACUUAUCAAAAAACCAUCAGAGCAUAUAUUUAAUUAUCAAUAAUGUUGAGUUUAAAAAGUUGAAAUAUAAAUAUUCCAACCCUGAUGGACAGAUUAAGGUCACCUGACUAAAAAAUAUCUGAAUUCUGCACUUCGCUUGCACCAUAACUAUUACAGCAGUUAAUACAUGUUAUACUCUCCUGAGGAGUUUUACUUUCAUGGAAAUUGGCCGGUUAUCAUUUGUAAAUGAAUAAUUCUAGCUACUUCACAAAAUGUUCAUCCCACACUUUUAGUGUUCCCCAGCCGCCAUAGACAAAACUUUGUGAUAUAAAUACAAAUAUCAUCUAUUUAAUGAAGAUAUCCAAAAAUAUUCAACUACAAAUUUCACACUCACAUUCAGAUCUGUUUCUGAACACAUAAGGAAGACAAUAGACAUGCAGCAAAGUAAUAAAAUAAAAAAAAGUUGCUUGAGUCCAAUCGAAUGAACAAUACAAAGCAAAUUCUCCUGACCUCUCCACAACCAUUUUAGCAAAUAGAAAAGGCCUAGAGCAGUCCAAAUCCCAAUACAAAACAUCUGUAGAAAUGAUAUAUUACUAUAUAAAGUAUCCUUUCUCAUGGUGCUCAUGCAAAUAGA